GUGCCAGCCGCCGCGGUAAUACGUAGGGUGCAAGCGUUGUCCGGAUUUAUUGGGCGUAAAGAGCUCGUAGGCGGUUAGUCACGUCGGAUGUGAAAACCAGGAGCUUAACUCCUGGCCUGCAUUCGAUACGGGCUGACUAGAGUGUUGUAGGGGAGACUGGAACUCCUGGUGUAGCGGUGAAAUGCGCAGAUAUCAGGAAGAACACCGGUGGCGAAGGCGGGUCUCUGGGCAACUACUGACGCUGAGGAGCGAAAGCGUGGGGAGCAAACAGGAUUAGAUACCCGCGUAGUCC
rnacentral:rRNA from 1 species